GAUGAACGCUGGCGGCGUGCCUAAUACAUGCAAGUCGAGCGAACAGACGAGGAGCUUGCUCCUCUGACGUUAGCGGCGGACGGGUGAGUAACACGUGGAUAACCUACCUAUAAGACUGGGAUAACUUCGGGAAACCGGAGCUAAUACCGGAUAAUAUCUUGAACCGCAUGGUUCAAUAGUGAAAGACGGUUUUGCUGUCACUUCUAGAUGGAUCCGCGCCGCAUUAGCUAGUUGGUAAGGUAACGGCUUACCAAGGCAACGAUGCGUAGCCGACCUGAGAGGGUGAUAGGCCACACUGGAACUGAGACACGGUCCAGACGCCUACGGGAGGCAGCAGUAGGGAAUCUUCCGCAAUGGGCGAAAGCCUGACGGAGCAACGCCGCGUGAGUGAUGAAGGUCUUCGGAUCGUAAAACUCUGUUAUGAGGGAAGAACAAAUGUGGAAGUAACUAUGCACGUCUUGACGGUACCUAAUCAGAAAGCCACGGCUAACUACGUG
rnacentral:rRNA from 1 species